rnacentral:rRNA from 1 species
CAUGCAAGUCGAACGAGCGAGAGAGAGCUUGCUUUCUCGAGCGAGUGGCGAACGGGUGAGUAACGCGUGAGGAACCUGCCUCAAAGAGGGGGACAACAGUUGGAAACGACUGCUAAUACCGCAUAAGCCCACAGGUCGGCAUCGACCAGAGGGAAAAGGAGCAAUCCGCUUUGAGAUGGCCUCGCGUCCGAUUAGCUAGUUGGUGAGGUAACGGCCCACCAAGGCGACGAUCGGUAGCCGGACUGAGAGGUUGAACGGCCACAUUGGGACUGAGACACGGCCCAGACUCCUACGGGAGGCAGCAGUGGGGAAUAUUGCACAAUGGGGGAAACCCUGAUGCAGCGACGCCGCGUGGAGGAAGAAGGUCUUCGGAUUGUAAACUCCUGUUGUUGAGGAAGAUAAUGACGGUACUCAACAAGGAAGUGACGGCUAACUACGUGCCAGCAGCCGCGGUAAAACGUAGGUCACAAGCGUUGUCCGGAAUUACUGGGUGUAAAGGGAGCGCAGGCGGGAAGACAAGUUGGAAGUGAAAUCCAUGGGCUCAACCCAUGAACUGCUUUCAAAACUGUUUUUCUUGAGUAGUGCAGAGGUAGGCGGAAUUCCCGGUGUAGCGGUGGAAUGCGUAGAUAUCGGGAGGAACACCAGUGGCGAAGGCGGCCUACUGGGCACCAACUGACGCUGAGGCUCGAAAGUGUGGGUAGCAAACAGGAUUAGAUACCCUGGUAGUCCACACCGUAAACGAUGAUUACUAGGUGUUGGAGGAUUGACCCCUUCAGUGCCGCAGUUAACACAAUAAGUAAUCCACCUGGGGAGUACGACCGCA